CGAGCGGCAGCGCGGGGGCAACCCUGGCGGCGAGCGGCGAACGGGUGAGUAACACAUCGGAACGUACCCCGUCGUGGGGGAUAACGAGUCGAAAGAUUCGCUAUACCGCAUACGACCUGAGGGUGAAAGCGGGGGACCUGCAAGGGCCUCGCGCGAUGGGAGCGGCCGAUGUCCGAUUAGCUAGUUGGUGGGGUAAGAGCCUACCAAGGCGACGAUCGGUAGCUGGUCUGAGAGGAUGAUCAGCCACACUGGGACUGAGACACGGCCCAGACUCCUACGGGAGGCAGCAGUGGGGAAUUUUGGACAAUGGGCGCAAGCCUGAUCCAGCCAUUCCGCGUGAGUGAAGAAGGCCUUCGGGUUGUAAAGCUCUUUCGGCCGGGAAGAAAUCGGGCAGGUGAAUAAUCUGCCUGGAUGACGGUACCGGAAGAAGAAGCACCGGCUAACUACGUGCCAGCAGCCGCGGUAAUACGUAGGGUGCGAGCGUUAAUCGGAAUUACUGGGCGUAAAGCGUGCGCAGGCGGCUUUGUAAGACAGGUGUGAAAUCCCCGGGCUUAACCUGGGAAUGGCGCUUGUGACUGCAAGGCUUGAGUUCGGCAGAGGGGGGUGGAAUUCCACGUGUAGCAGUGAAAUGCGUAGAGAUGUGGAGGAACACCGAUGGCGAAGGCAGCCCCCUGGGUCGCGACUGACGCUCAUGCACGAAAGCGUGGGGAGCAAACAGGAUUAGAUACCCUGGUAGUCCACGCCCUAAACGAUGCCGACUAGGUGUUGGGGAAGGAGACUUCUUUAGUACCGUAGCUAACGCGUGAAGUCGACCGCCUGGGGAGUACGGUCGCAAGAUUAAAACUCAAAGGAAUUGACGGGGACCCGCACAAGCGGUGGAUGAUGUGGAUUAAUUCGAUGCAACGCGAAAAACCUUACCUACCCUUGACAUGCCAGGAACCUUGCUGAGAGGUGAGGGUGCCCGAAAGGGAGCCUGGACACAGGUGCUGCAUGGCUGUCGUCAGCUCGUGUCUUGAGAUGUUGGGUUAAGUCCCGCAACGAGCGCAACCCUUGUCGCUAAUUGCCAUCAUUCAGUUGGGCACUUUAGCGAGACUGCCGGUGACAAACCGGAGGAAGGUGGGGAUGACGUCAAGUCCUCAUGGCCCUUAUGGGUAGGGCUUCACACGUCAUACAAUGGUCGGUACAGAGGGCUGCUAACCCGCGAGGGGGCGCUAAUCUCGCAAAGCCGAUCGUAGUCCGGAUUGCAGUCUGCAACUCGACUGCAUGAAGUCGGAAUCGCUAGUAAUCGUGGAUCAGCAUGUCACGGUGAAUACGUUCCCGGGUCUUGUACACAC
rnacentral:rRNA from 1 species